GUAGGUGGCAAGCGUUGUCCGGAAUUAUUGGGCGUAAAGCGCGCGCAGGGCGGUCCUUUAAGUCUGAUGUGAAAGCCCACGGCUCAACCGUGGAGGGUCAUUGGAAACUGGGGGACUUGAAUACAGAAGAGGAAAGCGGAAUUCCAAGUGUAGCGGUGAAAUGCGUAGAGAUUUGGAGGAACACCAGUGGCGAAGGCGGCUUUCUGGUCUGUAACUGACGCUGAGGCGCGAAAGCGUGGGGAGCAAACAGGAUUAGAUACCCUGGUAGUCCACGCCGUAAACGAUGAGUGCUAAGUGUUAGGGGGUUUCCGCCCCUUAGUGCUGCAGCUAACGCAUUAAGCACUCCGCCUGGGGAGUACGGCCGCAAGGCUG
rnacentral:rRNA from 1 species